AAUCUUCCGCAAUGGGUGCAAACCUGAUGGAGCAAUGCCGCGUGAAUGAAGAAGGUCUNCGGAUCNUNAAGUUCUGUUAUUAGAGNCGAACAAGUUGAGGAGUAACUGUCUCGACUUUGACGGUACCUAACUAGAAAGUUACGGCUAACUACGUGCCAGCAGCCGCGGUAAUACGUAGGUGACAAGCGUUGUCCGGAAUUAUUGUGCGUAAAGGGAGCGCAGGCGGUUGGAAUAGGCAGAUGUGAAAGCCCACGGCUUAACCGUGGAAGGUCAUUGGAAACUGUCAAACUUGAAUGCAGAAGAGGUAAGUGGAAUUCCAUAUGUAGCGGUGAAAUGCGUAGAUAUAUGGAGGAACACCAGUGGCGAAGGCGACUUACUGGUCUGUAAUUGACGCUGAGGCUCGAAAGCGUGGGUAGCGAACA
rnacentral:rRNA from 1 species